UAGCUCAGCUGGAUAGAGCAACGGCCUUCUAAGCCGUGGGUCGGGGGUUCGAAUCCCUUCGG
rnacentral:tRNA from 2 species